UACGUAGGGUGCAAGCGUUGUCCGGAAUUAUUGGGCGUAAAGAGCUCGUAGGCGGUUUGUCGCGUCUGCUGUGAAAUCCGGAGGCUCAACCUCCGGCCUGCAGUGGGUACGGGCAGACUAGAGUGCGGUAGGGGAGAUUGGAAUUCCCGGUGUAGUGGUGGAAUGCGUAGAUAUCGGGAGGAACACCAGUGGCGAAGGCGGUUGCCUGGAGCUUUGCUGACGCUGAUGCGCGAAAGCGUGGGGAGCGAUCCGG
rnacentral:rRNA from 1 species